rnacentral:rRNA from 1 species
GGGUAAAGCAAUAUACACUCAUCAACCCUGUGCACAUACCUAAAACGUUGCCUCGGCGGGAACAGACGGCCCCGUAACACGGGCCGCCCCCGCCAGAGGACCCCCUAACUCUGUUUCUAUAAUGUUUCUUCUGAGUAAACAAGCAAAUAAAUUAAAACUUUCAACAACGGAUCUCUUGGCUCUGGCAUCGAUGAAGAACGCAGCGAAAUGCGAUAAGUAAUGUGAAUUGCAGAAUUCAGUGAAUCAUCGAAUCUUUGAACGCACAUUGCGCCCGCCAGUAUUCUGGCGGGCAUGCCUGUUCGAGCGUCAUUACAACCCUCAGGCCCCCGGGCCUGGCGUUGGGGAUCGGCGGAAGCCCCCUGCGGGCACAACGCCGUCCCCCAAAUACAGUGGCGGUCCCGCCGCAGCUUCCAUUGCGUAGUAGCUAACACCUCGCAACUGGAGAGCGGCGCGGCCACGCCGUAAAACACCCAACUUCUGAAUGUUGACCUCGAAUCAGGUAGGAAUACCCGCUGAACUUAAGCAUAUCAAUAAGCGGAGGAAAAGAAACCAACAGGGAUUGCCCCAGUAACGGCGAGUGAAGCGGCAACAGCUCAAAUUUGAAAUCUGGCUCUCGGGCCCGAGUUGUAAUUUGUAGAGGAUGCUUUUGGUGAGGUGCCUUCCGAGUUCCCUGGAACGGGACGCCAUAGAGGGUGAGAGCCCCGUCUGGUUGGACACCGAUCCUCUGUAAAGCUCCUUCGACGAGUCGAGUAGUUUGGGAAUGCUGCUCUAAAUGGGAGGUAUAUGUCUUCUAAAGCUAAAUACCGGCCAGAGACCGAUAGCGCACAAGUAGAGUGAUCGAAAGAUGAAAAGAACUUUGAAAAGAGAGUUAAAAAGUACGUGAAAUUGUUGAAAGGGAAGCGCUUGUGACCAGACUUGGGCUUGGUUGAUCAUCCGGGGUUCUCCCCGGUGCACUCUUCCGGCUCAGGCCAGCAUCAGUUCGCCCUGGGGGAUAAAGGCUUCGGGAAUGUGGCUCUCUCCGGGGAGUGUUAUAGCCCGCUGCGUAAUACCCUGUGGCGGACUGAGGUUCGCGCAUUCGCAAGGAUGCUGGCGUAAGGUCACAUGCCGCGCUUAAAAAACAAACCACACAGACAACAAGAUUUUUUGAGAGAGAAUUAUCUCGGGAAAUAUCAAAAACACAGACCGCGCCGAAGAUAUCUAACAGGUUGGCUCUAGAGGGUACCAGAAAGGACCCCAAUAACGGGACGCUCUCCAAACGAACGCUAACUCUGGGUUCUAUCAAAGGCUGCCUUCAAGGGGAACGAAGGGAAACCGGAAUUAAUCACAAAUUCAUUAACGGGCAAAUCUGUGGCUUCGAGCCUUUUCAGAAAAUUAAACAACUCUUUUAACCGCUUUUUAAAAAACUUGUGCACCAUUCGGGACGACAUUUGGGGCUGAAGCCGCCAGGGGCAUUUUAAAGAAAACAACAGACCACUCUUUUUGGCGGGGGGCCCCUCGUGCCUCCUCCCCGGUUUUUCCACCACCGGGGGGGGGGGCCCCCCAAAACCCUU